UACAGAGGGUGCAAGCGUUAAUCGGAAUUACUGGGCGUAAAGCGUGCGUAGACGGUUAUUUAAGUCAGGUGUGAAAGCCCAGGGCUCAACCUUGGAAUUGCAUUUGAGACUGAAUAGCUAGGGUGCGGAAGAGGGAAGCGGAAUUUCCGGUGUAGCGGUGAAAUGUGUAGAUAUCGGAAGGAACACCAGUGGCGAAAGCGGCUUCCUGGUCCAGCACCGACGUCAGGCACGAAAGCGUGGGGAGCAAACAGG
rnacentral:rRNA from 1 species